UGGGAAAGCUUUAUCAGGAGACGAUUCUG
rnacentral:piRNA from 1 species